UCUAUACUACUUAAACCAAGAGUAUUGAUUACAGGUAUGAUUUAUACUGCUUAAACCAAGAGUACUGAUUACAGGUAUGAUUUAUACUGCUUAAACCAAGAGUAUUGAUUACAGGUAUGAUUUAUACUGCUUAAACCAAGAGUACUGAUUACAGGUAUGAUUUAUACUGCUUAAACCAAGAGUACUGAUUACAGGUAUGAUUUAUACUGCUUAAACCAAGAGUACUGAUAACAGGUAUGAUUUUGCUCACACCAAACAUGAAGGCAACACACCAAAAGUAUUUAUUACAGGUAUGAUUUAUACUGCUUAACCAAGAGUAUUGAUACAUGCAGGUAUGAUAUAUACUGUUUAAAUCAAAAUUCAAUCAUAUGGUAUUGGUGUUUCCGACUUGGGGACUAUCUGCCAUGAUAUGAUAUAUCUGGAUUUUUAUUGCAGUAUGUUUUAUUGACUAUAUGUGCACAUAUCUCUCCGUUUAACUAUGUUCUAGGCUUGAUCUUUCGUGGAUUGUGUAGCUUUUUUCUCGAUAUUUUGUUGUUGCUAGUAGCCUAUGUUAUGAUUUUAUUGGUGGAUACUCAUGUUAGGAGUCCAUAUUUGUAAGAUUAAUUAUGUUCUUAUAGAUUUUCUUCAAUCAUUAAUUACUUGCAAUACCAAAAUAAUGAAUCAUUUCUAUAAAUUCAUCAUGAGCAAUGAACCAAU